rnacentral:rRNA from 1 species
UACAGAGGUCCCAAGCGUUGUUCGGAUUCACUGGGCGUAAAGGGCGCGUAGGCGGAGAUAUAAGUCAGAUGUGAAAUCCUGGGGCUCAACCUCAGAACUGCAUUUGAAACUGUAUCCCUAGAGGAUAGAAGGAGAAAACGGAAUUCCACAAGUAGCGGUGAAAUGCGUAGAUAUGUGGAAGAACACCGGUGGCGAAGGCGGUUUUCUAUUUUAUUCCUGACGCUGAGGCGCGAAAGCAAGGGGAUCAAACAGG